AGAAAGACCUUUUUAUUGCUCAGAUCCAUGUUGAUCAGCAGUACAGUUCACCUACUAUUCAAAACAACAGCAUGGCUGUUAGCAAAAAAGAGUGAUCAUGAGUCAGCUCUCAGCUCUCAACACCCUAGUUACCCCCUACCAAGGUUAAAACUGGGAUCAUCAUGCGUGCUUGUUUGUGUAUGUCUGCAGGGGGGGCGUUCAGUGGCAGUGCAGUGGGCUGAGAAACCAACCCCAUAUCGCUUCAAAAGAACAGGGGACAACUCAAGCACACAGCGCCCAUAUUCAGAACCACUCCGGGCUGAGACAGAGUGAAUGUCCACUAAGACAGGGGUGCACUACGUGUUCAAAAAGCUUCAAGACCCAUCCUUCCAUUUCCAG